ensembl:lncRNA
UGCGGAGGACAAAGUGCACCGUCCUCCCGCCCGCGCCCCACGCAGAGAGGCCACGGCGCCCGGCCGCAGUCUGGACCCGGCCCUCUGGCUCCCCGUUCCCUGCCCCGCUCACCAGGCGGCACAGCCUCUCAGCUCCCGGGCAUGUCAGCCUCCCGUCACGGCCCGCAACGCCCGGUGGCGCGAGCCGCAGCGCAGCGGCGCUCCCCCUCGCCCGCCCCAGCCCGCGACGCCACCGCCGCCGCCUCCCCACGCCGCCCACUCACUCUCGCGAGAGCCGUCGCACCUCUCGCGAGAACGACCCCGUGGCCGAGCCCGCGCAAAAGGAACAAGGGGUGGGGGGGAAAAUAUCUUCCCACGUGCUCUGGAGGGCAAAGCUGCGGGUCGCCCGUCACGUGACGCGGAGGCGCCCUCUCCAUUGGCCAGGCGGCCCUCGGCCCGUGGGAGCUUUAAACCUCGAGCUGACCUACGAACUCUCGGCUGACGUCUUGCGCGCUUCCUGGCUGGCUAAGACUGAAUUCCAUUUUGUCAAGCUUGCCCUGGCAGAGUAAGCCGGAGAGGGAAAUGAACUUUUCUGAAAGACUCAAGAGUCAGCGGGCUGAGCAGGCCAAGUGAAAUCGGACCUCACACACCAACUGAGAGACUGUGACUGUGAGCCAGAUACCAGGAAUGCUUUCCUCAGAAAUGCUGGCCUCAGGGUGUGAAAACGGAAGUAGCGCCACCUGCUCAGCCCCAUGGUCCCUUCCUCUGGAGCCACUGUGAAUCUAUGUUACAUCCACAACAGUGCCAUGAGCCUGAUCAAAACAAGACAACAUCUGAAAGUUAACACCUUACUUUUAAUAAGAUUUAAGGUUACUUUUUAAGAAGGGAAAAAUGUGUCAGAAGUAUUAUUUUAACAAGGCCUUUAAAAAAAUUCCCCACUCCUUCAAAUAAGGUUAUUUUAAAGGCUAGUUUGGAGUGCUUUUUGGAAUCUGCAGCUCUCAUAAUGAUUAAUAGAAGCAGCUGCUUGGUAUUGCUAAUUUAGACAAACAGAGUACUCAGCUCUACCUUCCAAACAUAUUUACAGGAUCAUAAAUCAUCCGAACUCACUCUAGCAGGGAAGUGAUUGUGGUCCCUGUGCUAGCUGUUUGGAAUGCUAUGGAUAUAAAGUGAAAAGAAAUGUAAGACCUCCUAUAGUAUCCUUACUUCUUAGAGUCUUUCAAAACAUCUUUUACAUACACACAUACACAUGCAUGUAUAUAAAUAUAUACAUAUAUGUAGUUUUACUCCAGUAUAACUUACAUGUCAUGCAUUUUCAUGUCUUUUGUAUAUUCACAGAACUAUGUACCAACAUUAUAAUCUAAUUUUUCAAACCGACUUUGUCCUCCCGUUUUUAAAAAACACCCAUUAGCAACCAGUAAUCCACUAUCUCACCCUCAGUCCCAAGCGAUCGCUAAUAAUCUUUGUUUCCAUAAACUUGCCUAAUCUGGGUAUUUAAUAUUCAUGAAAUUAAAUAGCAUAUGACCUUUUGUCAAUUUAAUCACUUAGUACAUUAUUCUCAAGGGUCAUCCA